UACGGGGGGAGCAAGCGUUGUUCGGAUUUACUGGGCGUAAAGGGCGCGUAGGCGGCGUGACAAGUCACUUGUGAAAUCUCCGGGCUUAACCCGGAGCGGCCAAGUGAUACUGUCGUGCUAGAGUGCGGAAGGGGCUACUGGAAUUCUCGGUGUAGCAGUGAAAUGCGUAGAUAUCGUGAGGAAUACCAGAGGCGAAGGCGGCUACCUGGACAAUUGCUGACGCUCAGGCACGAAAGCGUGGGGAGCAAAAGGG
rnacentral:rRNA from 1 species